rnacentral:hammerhead_ribozyme from 2 species
AUGCGAAACAGCCCUGCGGGGCUGUCGCCGGAGCGUGGCGGCUUCGGCCUGAUGAGCAGCCGAAU